rnacentral:rRNA from 1 species
UACUGCCAGACUGGAACCGGGAGAGGUAAGAGGUACUACAGGGGUAGGAGUGAAAUCUUGUAAUCCCGUGUGGGACCGACCUGUGGCGAAGGCGUCUUACCAGAACGGGUUCGACGGUGAGGGACGAAAGCUGGGGGCACGAACCGGAUUAGAUACCCGGGUAGUCCCAGCCGUAAACGAUGCUCGCUAGGUGUCAGGCAUGGCGCGACCGUGUCUGGUGCCGCAGGGAAGCCGUGAAGCGAGCCACCUGGGAAGUACGGCCGCAAGGCUGAAACUUAAAGGAAUUGGCGGGGAGCACAACAACGGGUGGAGCCCUGCGGUUUAAUUGGACUCAACGCCGGACAACUCACCGGGGGCGACAGCAAUAUGUAGGCCAAGCUGAAGACUUUGCCUGAAUCGCUGAGUGGUGGUGCAUGG